rnacentral:piRNA from 1 species
UAAUCAUCCCUUAUUGUGACUUGUU